GACGAACGCUGGCGGCGUGCUUAACACAUGCAAGUCGAACGGAAAGGCCCAGCUUGCUGGGUACUCGAGUGGCGAACGGGUGAGUAACACGUGGGUGAUCUGCCCUGCACUCUGGGAUAAGCCUGGGAAACUGGGUCUAAUACCGGAUAUGACCAACUGUCGCAUGGUGGUUGGUGGAAAGCUUUUGCGGUGUGGGAUGGGCCCGCGGCCUAUCAGCUUGUUGGUGGGGUAAUGGCCUACCAAGGCGACGACGGGUAGCCGACCUGGGAGGGUGAUCGGCCACACUGGGACUGAGACACGGCCCAGACUCCUACGGGAGGCAGCGGGGGGGAAUAUUGCACAAUGGGCGAAAGCCUGAUGCAGCGACGCCGCGUGAGGGAUGACGGCCUUCGGGUUGUAAACCUCUUUCACCAGGGACGAAGCGUGAGGGACGGUACCUGUAGAAGAAGCACCGGCCAACUACGU
rnacentral:rRNA from 1 species